rnacentral:rRNA from 1 species
ACCUACGGGGGGCAGCAGUGGGGAAUAUUGCACAAUGGGGGAAACCCUGAUGCAGCAACGCCACGUGAAGGAAGACGGUUUUCGGAUUGUAAACUUCUGUUCUUAGUGAAGAAAAAUGACGGUAGCUAAGGAGCAAGCCACGGCUAACUACGUGCCAGCAGCCGCGGUAAUACGUAGGGGGCAAGCGUUAUCCGGAUUUACUGGGUGUGAAGGGAGCGUAGACGGCCAGACAAGUCUGGAGUGAAAAUCCAGCGCUUAACGUUGGAAGUGCUUUGGAAACUGCCGGGCUAGAGUGCAGGAGGGGG